rnacentral:misc_RNA from 1 species
AAGUCGUAACAAGGUUUCCGUAGGUGAACCUGCGGAAGGAUCAUUACAAAUCCAAUGAAUUUACCCGUUGCAAUGUUUGGAGGAGUGAGUGAGUUUAACCACUAACGAACUCUUUCAUGAAUAUUAUGACGCUUGUUGUUCAGUUGUAUUAAAAUUUAAUAUCAAUCACAACUUAUAACAAUGGAUCUCUAGGCUCUU